rnacentral:lncRNA from 1 species
AUGAGGUGUAUUAGAUAUAUGAGGUGUAUUAGAUAUAUGAGGUAUAUUAGAUAUAUGAGGUGUCUAAGGCAAAUGCUGGGCGGUUGGGCUCCGUGGGAAACAGGCUCCUUGGGGUGGGUUUGGGAGCACUGCUGGUGUGAGAGCUCCGUGGCAGUCACCACAGCUCUCCUGGUGCUCUGGCAGUGGUGGCUGUGCCAUUGUUGUGUGUGCUGCCGUGCGCCAGUGCAGUCUGGAGCGCGGGACGCGGCGCUGGCACGGCGGCACCGUGCUUUACUCAGGCCUUACUCAGGCUUUACUGGCAGGCUGCGGCAGCCCUGUGGCACAGCCUGGGCUGGCACGGGCCCCGAGCAGCAGCUCAGCAGCACAGCACGGCACAGCACGGCACAGAGCAGAGCAGAGGAGCCCGGCUCCCGGCUCAGCAGCACUGCACGGCACAGCACACAGCACAGCACGGCACAGAGCAGAGCAGAGGAGCCCGGCUCCCGGGAGAGGGGAAGCGGCGGCUGCGCUGGCAGCGCCGGCAGGGCCGGGCAGGAUGCAGACGCGCUCCUGGCAGAGAUCCCGGCACUGGGCCUGCCCGCCCUGGGCACGGCCGGGAGAGCGGGGAGGGACAGGCUCCUGCCAGUCACACGUGUGUGUGCGACACUCUGCAUUGUCCCAGGUGUGUGUGACACUGCUCUCUGUGUGUGUGUGUCUCUGUGCGUGUGUGUGUGUGUGGCACUGCUGUGUGCGUGUCUGUAUCCCCUAUCCUAUGUUUGUGUGUGUGACCCCACGCUCCCAGCGAAGCGUUUGCAGCAAACCCGUCCCCAAACCCUGUGGCGUAUCCGGCGCGCAGAGCUCUGCAGUUCUGCCUCGGGUCUCUCAGCUGGGCAAACGCAGAAAUCACCGGUUUCACCCUUAGCAGGAGUUAGUCCCCGAAACAAGAGCCCUCGGUGUCCUUCAGUGCUGCAGGAUCCCACAGUCCGUGGUGUCCCAUCCGUGCUGCCCCUGCCGAUGGGGGGUGUGAAGCUGCUUUCCCGUUUCCCUGCUCUCUCCCCGUGUGAUGAAUACCCUCUCCCGAGCCUCGGUGGUAUUAGCUGCAGCUAA